GAUGAACGCUGGCGGCGUGCCUAAUACAUGCAAGUCGAACGCUGAAGGAGGAGCUUGCUCUUCUGGAUGAGUUGCGAACGGGUGAGUAACGCGUAGGUAACCUGCCUGGUAGCGGGGGAUAACUAUUGGAAACGAUAGCUAAUACCGCAUGACAACAGUUAUUGCAUGAUAACUGUUUAAAAGGGGCAACUGCUCCACUACCAGAUGGACCUGCGUUGUAUUAGCUAGUUGGUGAGGUAACGGCUCACCAAGGCGACGAUACAUAGCCGACCGGAGAGGGGGAGCGGCCGCCCUGGGACUGAGACACGGCCCAGACGCCUACGGAAGGCAGCAGUAGGGAAUCUUCAGCAAUGGACGGAAGUCUGACCGAGCAACGCCGCGUGAGGGAAGAAGGAUUUCGGAUCGUAGAUCUCUGUUGUAAGAGAGGAACGAGUGUGAGAGUGGAAAGUUCACACUGUGACGGUAUCUUACCAGAAAGGGACGGCUAACUACGUG
rnacentral:rRNA from 1 species